rnacentral:rRNA from 1 species
GUGAGGAAUAUUGGUCAAUGGGCGAGAGCCUGAACCAGCCAAGUCGCGUGAAGGAUGAAGGUUUUAUGAAUUGUAAACUUCUUUUGCAGGGGAAUAAAGUACGGUACGUGUACCGUUUUGUAUGUACUCUGCGAAUAAGGAUCGGCUAACUCCGUGCCAGCAGCCGCGGUAAUAUGGAGGAUCCAAGCGUUAUCCGGAUUUAUUGGGUUUAAAGGGUGCGCAGGCGGGUUGAUAAGUCAGCGGUGAAAGUUUGCAGCUUAACUGUAAAAUUGACGUUGAAACUGUCGAUCUUGAGUGCAAAUGAGGUAAGCGGAAUGUGUUGUGUAGCGGUGAAAUGCUUAGAUAUAACACAGAACACCGAUUGCGAAGGCAGCUUACUGGGAUGCAACUGACGCUCAUGCACGAAAGCGUGGGGAUCAAACAGGAUUAGAAACCCUUGUAGUCC